rnacentral:rRNA from 1 species
AAGGGCACCACAAGAACGCGUGGAGCAUGUGGCUUAAUUUGACUCAACGCGGGAAAUCUUACCGGGUCCGGACACACUGAGGAUUGACAGACAAAUACACACACUUUUACGGUGUGCAUGAAAUAUGCUAGUUCUUUCAUGAUUAUGUGAUAGGUGGUGCAUGGCCGUUCUUAGUUCGUGGAGUGAUCUGUCUGCUUAAUUGCGUUUCACUAAAGGCACAUUACACAUAAUAUUGCUGUGUUGUGUGUAUAAUUUAUAAUUAUACGCAUACACACAUAUUAUAUUGUGCUUUGAAAGCAACGAACGUGACCGCAACCUCUUGUUGCCUGUAUAUAUGUGUAUUUUAUACACACCACAGGCUAUUAUAACUAGAGGGACCGCUGUUACUUUCUUUUAAACCAGAGGAAGGUUGCGGCAAUAACAGGUCUGUGAUGCCCUUAGAUGUUCCGGGCUGCACACGUGCUACAAUGAUCAUUGCAGUGCGCAUCUCAUUUUGUUAUACACUGCUUGUGCGUAUGUGCACCAUAUAUUUAUAUGUGUGUGUAUGUAUUGCACGCAGUAAAGCCUACUUCGAAAGUUGUGGGUAAUCAAUUUGAAGUAAUGAUUUCUCCAAAUAUAUACUGCACACUCAUAUACAG